UUCAAUCGAGCUGCAGUUGCCACCCUACACCAAGCACAGCGAUGCCGAUGCCGGAUCGGAGCCGCAUCUGCGACCUGUGCUGCGGUUGCAGCAGAGCUGGAUCAAGGCCAGGGAUCAAAUCUGCAUCUUCAUGGAUACUAGUUGGGUUUUUAUUUUUUUGCUCUUUAGGGUCACACCUGCAACAUAUGGAAGUUUCCAGGCUAAGGGUCAAAUUGGAGCUGCAUCUGCUGGCCUACACCACAGCCACAGCCACCCUGACUCCUUAACCUACUGACUGAGGCCAGGGAUCGAACCCGAAUCUUCAUGGAUACUAGUCUGGUUCGGAACCUACUGAGCCACAGCGGGAACUCCACCGGUUGCGUCCUUAACCCUCUGAGCUGCGCUGGGAAUGCCUCUUUUGUGCGGGUUAUUUCUGGACUCGAUUCUGCUCUGUUGGUCUGUGGGUCUAUCCCAUCGCCUAUACACGACAGGCAAAAACUUCCAAGAUGAUUUCUCCAACUGAAAAAAAGUGUUUUUGGUGUUUAGUCAUUUUUUUGGUUUUGUUUUGUUUUUGUUUUUGUUUUCUGUUUUUUUGUCUUUUUGCCAUUUCUUGGGCCGCUCCCACGGCAUAUGGGGGUUCCCAGGCUAGGGGUCGAAUCGGAGCUGAAGCCACUGGCCUACGCCAGAGCCACAGCAACGCGGGAUCCGAGCCGCGUCUGCGACCUACACCACAGCUCACGGCAACGCCGGAUCGUUAACCCACUGAGCAAGGACAGGGACCGAACCCGCAACCUCAUGGUUCCUAGUUGGGUUCGUUAACCACUGCGCCACGCCGGGAACUCCCAUUUGUUUUUUUUUUUUUUUUUAAUACAUUUUAGAAUCAACUUGUCCAUGUCUACAAAUAAUUCUAGUAUUUAAUUUGAGGAGUUCCCUCAUGGCUCACAGGGGUAAGAAUCUGGCAUUUCACUGCAGUAGCUCUGGUAACUGUGACACAGGUUCCAUCCUGGCCGGGAACUUGCACAUGCCAAAAAAACCAAUAAUUUGAAUCUCCUUAAAACUGUAGGUCAGUUUGGCGGGGAGCCGAGGUAUUUGCUGUUGACUCUUCCAGUCUGUGAACACGGCGUGUGUUUCUCUCUGGUCGUCUUUGAUUUGUGGAUUCAUUGGCAUUUUCCCGGUGAGUCGUCAUAUUGUCUGCGAGUAGGGCAUUUUUUGGUUUGUCUUCCACCCUGGGUGCCUUUUCCUUCCUUUGCUUGCUUGCUUUCGUGCGCUUGGUAGGGCUUUAGAACCGUUUCCUUGUUCUUGAUUUUCGGGGGAGCAUCCAGCCUGUCGCAGUGUGUCUGCUGGAGGGUUUUCCUCAGAUGCCCGUUGCCAUGAUGGGGAAGUUUUUAAGUUUCUAUUGACAGAUAUGAAAGUUUGUCAGGUGCUUUUUUGGAUCGGUUGGUGUGGCCGUGUUUUUCUCUUCUUUAGACUGUCACUGUGGUAGGUGACGUCAUUGAUCUUUUCAUACUGAACCAGCUUUGCAUUCCUGGACUAGACCCCACUUGGUCAGGGUGUGUGUGUGUGUGUGUGUGUGAGACCCCACUUGGUCAGGGGGUGUGUGUGUGUGUGUGUGUGUGNGUGUGUGUGUGUGUGUGUGUGACCCCAUUUGGUCAGGGUGUAUGACCCCACUUGGUCAGGGGGGUGUGUGUGUGUGUGACCCCACUUGGUCAGGGUGUGUGUGUGUGUGUGUGUGUGUGUGUGUGUGUGUGUGUGUGUGACCCCAUUUGGUCAGGGUGUAUGACCCCACUUGGUCAGGGGUGUGUGUGUGUGUGUGAGAGAGACCCCACUUGGUCAGGGGUGUGUGUGUGUGUGUGUGUGUGUGUGUGUGUGUGUGAGUGAGACGUUCCCGGGCCGGGGCUGGAACCUGUGCCUUAGCAGCCCCUUGGGCCGUUGCGGUGGCCCUGCUGGCCCCUUGGCCCUGCCCCAGAGGAGGGCGCACCUUACCCGCGUUUUGUUGAGCGUUGCUGUGUCUGUUUUAUAAGGACAUGUCCAUCGUUCUUGUUUUAUGACAUCCUUGCCUGGCUUUUCCUUGAUGACACCUUUGCUUGUUCUUCUUGCUGUACCUUGUCAGCCAGACUCUGGCCAAAUGGACAGGCUCUUGUCUUUCUUGCUCUCAGCUGGCUUCCGUCCGCUUUGGCGUCCCAGCGCCUUUGUCUGGCACUGGGGCAGCCACGUUGUUCUGCUUGUGUGGUGGGGCCUGCACGGCGUGGACGGGCCACGUCCUUCUCACCUCUGUGCCUUUGUUGGGCUGUUUCUGCGUAGCGUUUCUCUUCCUUCUUUGCCCAGUGACCGCUGCGUCUUCCCAGGAGGGGUCGCGUGCUGUCUCUGUGGGAAGCAUUGCCAUCACCAUGCUAGGCCUGGCUGUUGCUGCCCGUCUGGGUUCCCCUGGAGCCUGUCCUCAGCUGGGCCAGAGACGUUAGACUGGGUUGCAGUCAUUGCUUUAUCGGAACGUUUUCUUCCUUUUUCUUUUUGUUCAUUUACUUAUUUUUUAGAUACUGUUUCAUUAUUUAUUUUACUGCCCUUGCUUAUGGGCCUUCCGGGCUCUCUGCCGUCCACGUGUGGCACUGUCGUGGUGUCUCCUUCCCUCCGGCUUUGGUGAACGUGCUCACCCCCUUGCCUGCAGCACUCACCUUGAUGCAGGAGAGUCUGUGUCCACUUCUUCCUCUCAAGCUCAGACCUGACACUUGGCGUCUUUCCCAUGUGGUGUUAGAGAGUUCCCAUCACAGCUGGGAACUCAAAUGGUUGAUCAGUGAGUCUGACGUUGUGGCUGUUCUCACUAGAAUGACCAUUGCGGCAGGUGAGCUCAGCUUGUCUUGUCCCUGUUGAAAGUAAACUCUUCUUUCCAAACUACAAAAUAGUUCUUGGGUUUACUGGUUGGUUUGCUGGAAAACUUAUCAAAAGAAGCUUUUGUCUAAAGCUCUCAGGCCAGCUGUAUGUGUUUGUACGCUGGACACAUCCGUCAGGUAAGAAGAUUGGCUAGGGAGUUCCCUGGUGGCCUAGCCAGUCGAGCAUCCUGUAUUGUCACAGGUUUGAUCCCUGGCCCAGGAACUUCUGCAUCUGCAGGGGUGUCCCCCCCCAAAAAAAGAUUGUGCUGGAUAAUCUCAAAGGUCUUUUACAACUUGUGAUUCUUGGAUCGUCAGUCCCUUGGUCACGCCCUUUCGGGGACCUCCGAUUGCCCGCUGCAGGGUCUGUAAUGUGUGCAGUGCGUUAGCGGCGCACUUGGAGCAGCUCAGACGCGCCCAGCGCCGCAGGAGAACGUGUUUGUUCUCGAGUCCUCCAGGAAGACUCUCUGCUGUACGGGUGUGGAGUGUGUGGAUGGGGACGGAUGCCCUCACUUGAUCUGGUUUCAGAGCCUGGAGUCUUGCGUGAUUCCUGAGGUAUCUGGCAUCAGAAUCCGUGUGUUUACUCAGAGUCUUGAAGCCUAUGGCAGUCAGCGGGGGCUGGUUAAGUACGUGACUUCUGCUGUUUGAUUUAAUGAGGUAGAGUCUUAAAAGAAACCCUGGAUUGAAGAUAAGGCCCGUAAUGAAAGCAUAUGAGACAGCAAGGAAAUUGAUGGUAGCGCCGCUACUGUCUCCUGCAUAAGCUUUUUAUUGACCACACAGUGAGCUUAAGAAAGUGAGCUAAGUUGGGAGUUCCCGUCGUGGCGCAGUGGUUAAAGAAUCUGACUAGGAACCAUGAGGUUGCGGGUUCGGUCCCUGCCCUUGCUCGGUGGGUUAAGGAUCCGGCGUUGCCAUGAGCUGUGGUGUGGGUUGCAGACGCAGCUCGGAUCCCGCAUGACUGUGGCUGUGGUGGAGGCCAGCGGCUACAGCUCCAAUUAAACACUUAGCCUGGGAACCUGCAUAUGCCGCAGGAGCGGCUCAAGAAAUGGCAAAAAGACAAAGUGAGCUAAGUAGACUCUUAGCUGACUCUUUGAAAUGUGCAGUUAUAUCCACUUUUAUUAUUAGCUAGCCAUGUCUGGCGUUCCUGUCGUGGCUCAGUGGAAAGGAACCUGACUAGGAUCCAUGAGGACGUGGGUUCUGAUCCCUGGCCCUGCUCAGUGGGUUAAGCAUCUGGCAUUUCCCUGAGCUGUGGUGUCGGUCGCAGAUGCAGCUCGGAUCCCGCAUGACUGUGGCUGUGGUGGAGGCCGGCGGCUACAGCUCUGAUUGGACCCCUAGCCUGGGAACCUCCAUAUGCUGCAGGUCCAGCUCUAAAAAGAAAAAAAAUAGUAAAAACACAACCCCCUCCCCCACAAGUGGUUUUCUUGGAUGUUAGAGAAGGAAGUACCUGGUCUUCACAGUCAGGCAUCCAGAAGAGAAACACCACCUCUGCCCCCUUUUUUAGCAGCAUUUCCAGUCAUCCUCCGCUCUCUCUAGUACUUUGUACAGUUCCCCUGAGCCUAAGGAUGAGCUCCUGAGGAAAUGCGCAUUUCUCCCACCCCAGCCCCUUUUUCGGCUGCACCCACGGCGUAUGGACGUUCCCGGGCCAGGGAGCAACUCUGAGCCACGUCUGGGCCCUUCGCCACAACUGCAGCAGCACUGGAGCUGGGGAUCAAACGGGCAGCACCACAGAGACCAGCCGGGCCAUGACCUUGCUGCAGCACAGCGGGAGCUCGGAGGCGCACACUUCUGUGAGGCCGAGUCGCAGCAGCUCUGGCUAAUUUGCACAGACAGGUGUUGACUGGUGCAUCGGGAACUUACAGCGUUUUGAAAGGGCUGCUGGAACCAACUCUCUAGCUGGGCUUCCGAGAAGGAGUUCCAGAACCAGGUGUAAGCCCCCAGCUGUGGAGCGAGUCAAGCCAGUCUGCAGCACCAGCCAUGCUGGUCUGCCGCUGAAAGCCAGGUCCCUGGCCAGAACCCAGCUCUCUAGGGGGCUUGAGGGAGUAGCCACAAGGCGACAUACCUCAGGGGAAGCGAAAUGGCAACAAAGUCACCACACGGCUUUGUUAGCAAAUACUUUUGGAGUAUUCACAGGACAUACUGCCGAAGAUUUGAAAGAAGUAAAUUGUUAGAAUAAAUGACGAUGUGUGGUGGGCUUGCCUGGGAUGCUGGAAACAGAUGUUUCUUACUGGUUUUUUUUAAGGGCUGCACCUGUGGCAUAUGGAGGUUCCCAGGCUGGGGUCCAAUCAGGCCUACCCCACAGCCACAGCAACACAGGAUCCGAGCCGCAUCUGUGACCUACACCACAGCUCACGGCAACACUGGAUCCGUAACCCACUGAGCAAGGCCAGGGAUCGAACCCGCAUCCUCAUGGAUACUAGUUGGAUUCGUUUCCUUUGAGCCACAAUGGGAACUCCUCAGGUAUUUCUAAACAGGUUUCAGCUUCUGCUUUUUGAUAGAUUCAGAUUGAGUACUUUGUGUGAGCUCUUGAAUGGCCUAGAGAAUAUAUAUUCUGAAAUGAUUUCUUUAAUGAACAGGGUUUUGUGGGAAAACUGGAUGUAUCUGGUGAUGGAGCAGCCACUUUAAAAAAAUUCGUGGAUGGGGUGGGAUUGCAGAAAGAACAACACAUGUGAAAUUUAUUCACCACAUGAUGCAUAAGAGAAGUUCUUGAAGCAGCGACUUGAAGCCAGAAGCACAUAGGGGCUCAGCCGACCUUUACACAAGUAGUAAAUCUUUACAGUGCUUUGUAAUGAGAUGGGGAGAAACUGAACAUACUUGGCAAGGCACAGAGGUUUGCUGGUUAUCUUGAGACAGAAUUGAAAGCAUGGCCUAUUUGGAGGUGAAUUGAGGGUUUUCUUUGACGUAAGGGCAAGGGGUCUAAAUUUGCUGACCUUUUCUGCCAUGAGUGGCUGUCAGUAGAAAGCUACCUAGCAAAUUCAGUAUUUUUGAGAAAAUAAACACUUGACCUGCCCUCUCAAGGACUUUUUAACAAUGAACAGAAAAUUGCUUUUUGAAAGAAACUCUUGCCAUAGGGCUUUGAAAGUGAUGUUUCUAGAGUUGUCUCCACUAUUUGUCUUGUUAAGAGUGAUGCAAAUAGUCAUCUUACUGCGCACUUGAACUUGGAAGUGAAACGUUCAGCCUGUUUAACAACUUCCUGUUGUAACACUUAGUUUUGAACUCAUUUUUUACAAAUACAGGGAUGUUGGGAGUUCCCUCUGUGGUGCCCGGGUUAAGGAUCUGGCGUUGCCACAGCUGUGGCUUGGGUCGCAGCUUCGGCUUGGAUUCAGUCCUUGGCCCGGGAACUUUUAUACGCCAUGGGUGUGACCAAAAAAGAAAGAAAAAAAA
rnacentral:lncRNA from 1 species